UACGUAGGGUGCGAGCGUUAAUCGGAAUUACUGGGCGUAAAGCGUGCGCAGGCGGUUUUGUAAGCCCGGUGUGAAAUCCCCGGGCUCAACCUGGGAAUGGCAUUUGGGACUGCAAGGCUUGAGUGCGGCAGAGGAGACUGGAAUUCCUGGUGUAGCAGUGAAAUGCGUAGAUAUCAGGAGGAAUACCGAUGGCGAAGGCAGGUCUCUGGGCUGACACUGACGCUCAUGCACGAAAGCGUGGGGAGCAAACAGG
rnacentral:rRNA from 1 species